rnacentral:rRNA from 1 species
AACAAGGAUUCCCUAGUAACUGCGAGUGAAGCGGGAAAAGCUCAAAUUUAAAUCUGGCGGUCUUUGGCCGUCCGAGUUGUAAUCUAGAGAAGUAAUGCCCGUGCUGGACCCGUGUAUAAGUCUCCUGGGAUGGGGCGUCAUAGAGGGUGAGAAUCCCGUCUUUGACACGGACUACCAGUGCAUUGUGGUAUGCUCUCAAAGAGUCGAGUUGUUUGGGAAUGCAGCUCAAAAUGGGUGGUAAAUUCCAUCUAAAGCUAAAUAUUGGCGAGAGACCGAUAGCGAACAAGUACCGUGAGGGAAAGAUGAAAAGAACUUUGGAAAGAGAGUUAAACAGUACGUGAAAUUGCUGAAAGGGAAACGCUUGAAGUCAGUCGCGUUGGCCAGGGAUGAGCCUUGCUCUUGCAUGGUGUACUUUCUGGUUGACGGGUCAGCAUCAAUUUUGACCGCUGGAAAAGGGCCUGGGGAAUGUGGCAGCUUCGGCUGUGUUAUAGCCCCUGGUCGCAUACGGUGGUUGGGAUUGAGGAACUCAGCACGCCGCAAGGCCGGGUUUCGACCACGUUCGUGCUUAGGAUGCUGGCAUAAUGGCUUUAAGCGACCCGUCUUGAAACACGGACCAAGGAGUCUAACAUGCCUGCGAGUAUUUGGGUGGAAAACCCAAGUGCGCAAUGAAAGUGAAAGUUGAGAUCCCUGUCGUGGGGAGCAUCGACGCCCGGACCAGAACUUUUGGGACGGAUCCGCGGUGGAGCAUGUAUGUUGGGACCCGAAAGAUGGUGAACUAUGCCUGAAUAGGGUGAAGCCAGAGGAAACUCUGGUGGAGGCUCGUAGCGAUUCUGACGUGCAAAUCGAUCGUCAAAUUUGGGUAUAGGGGCGAAAGACUAAUCGAA